UCAGGGAAGCAGAUGGAGAUGUUCCAGUCACCUGAUUUGAACAGAUCACGAAACUUAAGCAAUGCUUUGCCCGUCGCUUCACCAAUCAAACCACAAAAACAAGUGGAGCUUUGGGCGGAUGAGGAAUGGAACCACACAGGAGUUUCAAAAGCUGGGCCAAAGAGGCCAUGAUGGAGCUGAGCUUUGACCCUCACGGACUCUCAGAGCAAACAGUGGACCAGUUCUCCUCUGCAGUGGUGACCGUCUCCUUUUCAGACACAGAAGGCGAGUGGGAUCCGCUGGACGGCCUUGGGGUCCCCAAAGCAAGGGCUGGAGUGCUGGCCCCAUCCAGAAGUACCCACAGUUCGAGAGUAGAUUCGUGGAGAUGUGAUAUUAAACCUUAA
rnacentral:lncRNA from 1 species